UGAUUUUCCCCUCAUUAGAGUAUAUUUAAGAAGAAAACUAUGAAAUCUUUGGAUCCAGAGCUGCUCUGGAUCCAUUAUCACGAGGAUAGCAAAUAAUGUAGAAAAGUAACAUGUAUCCAACAGAGACGGGCUCAGAUGCUCGGUUACCAUUUUGGAAUCAUUCUUGGACCGUCCUAACUGUCUCUGUACCUUUUUCUCUCAUACCAACACAGGGCACUUCAUUGCUGCUCCAAUCCCACCUUGCCAGGGCACAUCUUCACUCUUGUGACAUUUGUCCUUUCAGUUUCAGUAACAACCACAAGUGGCAAUUAUAAGAAAUUUCUGGAAACUGUCCAUUGUUGCUGUACAACACUUCAUAUUAUAGAAUUCACUGCAACUACCAUCUUCACAAAUGAGGCAACAUUAUAUGAGGCUACUUUCAAACCACACUGACACAGCUGGUCUAGGAUGGGGACCUGUUUCAUGACUUGCUGUUCAUCAUUCCAGAGCCCUUCUCCAGCAAAGUGAGAGUGAACAAAUCAAUCACGGUGUAUGGUAAAUUCACAUGCAUGCAGUCAAAAUGGAUGAACUACAGAGGUGGCCACAGAUAUAGAUAAAUCUCAGCAGUAUAUUAAAUUAAACAAAAUUAUAGUGAACCAACCAAAUACACAGGACUUUACAGGAACAGAUGCCAAAAUGUCUAAAGAAAUGAAAAAAUAUCAAACUAGCAGAGAUCUACUCACCUCUGACAAUAAUUUAUAUAUUUAACUUAAAAAGAUAGCAGAUAAUUUGUUUAUAAUGGACCUGAUUUUCUGUAAUUACAUGAACUGUCAAUAAAUAUUAUGCC